rnacentral:rRNA from 1 species
AACGAACGCUGGCGGCAUGCCUAACACAUGCAAGUCGAACGAUGCUUUCGGGCAUAGUGGCGCACGGGUGCGUAACGCGUGGGAAUCUGCCCCUUGGUUCGGAAUAACAGUUAGAAAUGACUGCUAAUACCGGAUGACGACGUAAGUCCAAAGAUUUAUCGCCGAGGGAUGAGCCCGCGUAGGAUUAUCUAGUUGGUGUGGUAAAGGCGCACCAAGGCGACGAUCCUUAGCUGGUCUGAGAGGAUGAUCAGCCACACUGGGACUGAGACACGGCCCAGACUCCUACGGGAGGCAGCAGUGGGGAAUAUUGGACAAUGGGCGCAAGCCUGAUCCAGCAAUGCCGCGUGAGUGAUGAAGGCCUUAGGGUUGUAAAGCUCUUUUACCCGUGAUGAUAAUGACAGUAGCGGGAGAAUAAGCCCCGGCUAACUCCGUGCCAGCAGCCGCGGUAAU